GUCCAGACUCAGUCUGCAACAACAUGUUUGGAGACUACAGCUGCUCAUGCUUGAGUGGAUACAAUGUCACUGAUCCAAGUGUGCGAAGUAGUGCAGACAAUCCCUGUACAGACAUAAAUGAAUGUAAUGAGAUACCAAACAUAUGUGGAACCUACUCAGACUGUACCAACACCAAUGGAAGCUACAACUGUUCUUGCUUGAAUGGAUUUCAAGUGGCCUUCCCAAACCAAUCCAUAAGCAAUAGCAAUCAGUGCAGGGAUGUGAAUGAAUGCCGUCAGACCCCAUCAGUUUGUGGUCCAGACUCAGUCUGCAACAACAUGUUUGGAGACUACAGCUGCUCAUGCUUGAGUGGAUACAAUGUCACUGAUCCAAGUGUGCGAAGUAGUGCAGACAAUCCCUGUACAGACAUAAAUGAAUGUAAUGAGAUACCAAACAUAUGUGGAACCUACUCAGACUGUACCAACACCAAUGGAAGCUACAACUGUUCUUGCUUGAAUGGAUUUCAAGUGGCCUUCCCAAACCAAUCCAUAAGCAAUAGC